rnacentral:rRNA from 1 species
CCUACGGGGGGCAGCAGUGAGGAAUAUUGGUCAAUGGACGAGAGCCUGAACCAGCCAAGUAGCGUGAAGGAUGACUGCCCUAUGGGUUGUAAACUUCUUUUAUAUGGGAAUAAAACAGGGUAUGCAUACCCUCUUGUAUGUACCAUAUGAGUAAGGAUCGGCUAACUCCGUGCCAGCAGCCGCGGUAAUACGGAGGAUCCGAGCGUUAUCCGGAUUUAUUGGGUUUAAAGGGAGCGUAGGUGGAUUGUUAAGUCAGUUGUGAAAGUUUGCGGCUCAACCGGAGAAUUGCAGUUGAAACUGGCAGGCUUGAGUACAGUAGAGGUGGGCGGAAUGCGAGGUGUAGCGGUGAAAUGCUUAGAUAUCACGAAGAACUCCGAUUGCGAAGGCAGCUCACUGGACUGCAACUGACGCUGAUGCGCGAAAGUGUGGGGAUCAAACAGGAUUAGAUACCCUUGUAGUC